UGAAUACUUGAACAGUUCCUGAUUUGUUUGUUCAGUAUUGCUCCUCCUCCCGUCAUCGCCGUGUACUAAUUACUUUCAGGCGAUAUCGAUGAAUGCAGCAUUCACGGAUCUUGCGAUCAAAGAUCUAUAAAUCAUCUUGCGCGCAAUGACGAAAUAGCCCUACUCGGUAGCGGUUUUCGAGAAAAAAUGUCACUGGAGCGACUGAAGAACUAAGAGCGUUCAAUCUUGCAAUAAAUUCACGGGAAAUGAACAAGCUAUUGUUGCAAUAGAAAAUGAAUCCAUCUACGGGAUACACAUUUAUCACUCAACUCUGAGACCCGAUAUUCCAAAUCCCUGCAUCCACGGAUUCUGUUCACACAUAUGUUUGUUGGCGCCGAAUUC